UGGAGGAAAGAAACCAACAGGGAUUGCCCUAGUAACGGCGAGUGAAGCGGCAACAGCUCAAAUUUGAAAGCUAGCCUUCGGGUUAGCAUUGUAAUCAUGUAGAGGAGGACUUGGGGAAGCCGCCUGUCUAAGUCACCUCGGAACAGGACGUCAUAGAGGGUGAGAAUCCCGUAUGUGACAGGAAACGGCACCCUAUGUAAAUCUCCUUCGACGAGUCGAGUUCGUUUGGGAAUGCAGCUCUAAUGGGAGGUAAAUUCUCUUCUAAAGCUAAAUAUUGGCGAGAGACCGAUAGCGCACAAGUAGAGUGAUCGAAAGAUGAAAAGCACUUUGGAAAGAGAGUUAAAAAGCACGUGAAAUUGUUGAAAGGGAAGCGCUUGCAAUCAGACUUGUUUAAACUGUUCGGCCGGUCUUCUGACCGGUUUACUCAGUUUGGACAGGCCAGCAUCAGUUUCGGCGGCCGGAUGAAGGCUCUGGGAGAUGUGGCCUCCACUUCGGUGGAGGUGUUAUAGCCCAGGGUGUAAUACGGCCAGCCGGGACUGAGGUCCGCGCUUCGGCUAGGAUGCUGGCGUAAUGGUUGUAAGCGACCCUCUGA
rnacentral:rRNA from 1 species